GAUGAACGCUGGCGGCGUGCCUAAUACAUGCAAGUCGAGCGAACGGACGAGAAGCUUGCUUUUCUGAUGUUAGCGGCGGACGGGUGAGUAACACGUGGAUAACCUACCUAUAAGACUGGGAUAACUUCGGGAAACCGGAGCUAAUACCGGAUAAUAUUUUGAACCGCAUGGUUCAAAAGUGAAAGACGGUCUUGCUGUCACUUAUAGAUGGAUCCGCGCUGCAUUAGCUAGUUGGUAAGGUAACGGCUUACCAAGGCAAGGAUGCAUAGCCGACCUGAGAGGGUGAUCGGCCACACUGGAACUGAGACACGGUCCAGACUCCUACGGGAGGCAGCAGUAGGGAAUCUUCCGCAAUGGGCGAAAGCCUGACGGAGCAACGCCGCGUGAGUGAUGAAGGUCUUCGGAUCGUAAAACUCUGUUAUUAGGGAAGAACAUAUGUGUAAGUAACUGUGCACAUCUUGACGGUACCUAAUCAGAAAGCCACGGCUAACUACGUG
rnacentral:rRNA from 1 species